AUACGUAGGGUGCGAGCGUUAAUCGGGAUUACUGGGCGUAAAGCGUGCGCAGGCGGUUUUGUAAGACCGAUGUGAAAUCCCCCGGCCUAACCUGGGAACUGCAUUGGAGACUGCAAGGCUUGAGUGCGGCAGAGGGGAACGGAAUUCCGCGUGUAGCAGUGAAAUGCGUAGAUAUGCGGAGGAACACCGAUGGCGAAGGCAGUUCCCUGGGCCUGCACUGACGCUCAUGCACGAAAGCGUGGGGAGCAAACAGGAUUAGAUACCCUGGUAGUCCACGCACUAAACGAUGUCAACUGGUUGUUGGGAAUUUAUUUUCUCAGUAACGAAGCCAACGCGUGAAGUUGACCGCCUGGGGAGUACGGCCGCAAGGUUGAAACUCAAAUGAAUUGGCGG
rnacentral:rRNA from 1 species